GGCUGGGUAGCACAGUGGUAAGGAGCAGGGCUUGUAACCAAAAGGUUAGUGGUUCUAUUCCCUGCUGGGUCA